rnacentral:rRNA from 1 species
AUGUGAGUCUUUGCGUGAGUUUUUGUUUGUUUUAAUAAUUAAUAAAUUUUAUUAUAAUCUCAGUAAUUAAUUUUGUAAAUCAAGGUAACUUGGAGAUAGUAAUUUCAAAUAGUAUUGGCUAAAUUUGUGCCAGCAGCCGCGGUUAUACAAAUGAUACAAGUAAAAUUAUUUUAGUAUAAGUUAAAUUUAUUAUAAAUGAAAUAAAUGUAAGUUUAUUAGGUGAAAUUUUAAAUUUAUAAAUUUUUAUUAGAAUGUUGUUGAAGCUUGUAAAUUUUAUAUAUAAACUAGGAUUAGAUACCCUAUUAUUUAAAAUGUAAUAUUAAAUACUAAGGUAGUAUUAGGUAUGUUCUUGAAACUUAAAAAAUUUGGCGGUAUUUUAGUCUAUUCAGAGGAACCUGUCCUGUAAUUGAUAGUCCGCGAUGUACCUCACUUAGAUUUGUUUUUCAGUUUAUAUACCGUCGUUAUCAGAAUAUUUUAUUAGAAUAAUAAUUUUCUAUAAUUUUUAUUAAAAUUUAUAUCAGAUCAAGGUGUAGCUUAUAUUUAAGUAGAGAUGGGUUACAAUAAAAUUAUUUAUAUGGAAUUAAGUUUGAAAUACUUAGUGAAAGUGGAUUUGAUAGUAAAUUUUUAAAGAUUGUAAGUUUGAUUUUAGCUCUAAAGUAUGUACACAUCGCCCGUCGCUCUUACUAUUAAGGUAAGAUAAGUCGUAACAUAGUAGAUGUA